rnacentral:rRNA from 1 species
AACGAACGCUGGCGGCAGGCUUAACACAUGCAAGUCGAACGAGAUCUUCGGAUCUAGUGGCAGACGGGUGAGGAACACGUGGGAACAUCCCUUUCAGUUCGGAAUAACGUUGGGAAACUAACGCUAAUACCGGAUACGUCCUUCGGGAGAAGGAUUUAUCGCUGAAAGAUUGGCCCGCGUCUGAUUAGCUAGUUGGUGAGGUAAUGGCUCACCAAGGCUACGAGCAGUAGCUGAUCUGAGAGGAUGACCAGCCACAUUGGGACUGAGACACGGCCCAAACUCCUACGGGAGGCAGCAGUGGGGAAUAUUGGACAAUGGGCGCGAGCCUGAUCCAGCCAUGCCGCGUGAGUGAUGACGGCCUUCGGGUUGUAAAGCUCUUUUGUCCGGGAAGAUAAUGACUGUACCGGAAGAAUAAGCCCCGGCAAACCUCGUGCCAGCAGCCGCGGUAA